AUUGAACGCUGGCGGCAUGCUUUACACAUGCAAGUCGAACGGCAGCACGGGGGCAACCCUGGUGGCGAGUGGCGAACGGGUGAGUAAUGCAUCGGAACAUACCCAGUCGUGGGGGAUAACGUAGCGAAAGUUACGCUAAUACCGCAUACGUCCUGAGGGAGAAAGCGGGGAGUCGCAAGACCUCGCGCGAUUGGAGUGGCCGAUGUCAGAUUAGCUAGUUGGUGGGGUAAAGGCCCACCAAGGCGACGAUCUGUAGCGGGUCUGAGAGGAUGAUCCGCCACACUGGGACUGAGACACGGCCCAGACUCCUACGGGAGGCAGCAGUGGGGAAUUUUGGACAANAGGGGAAACCCGUACGAUCACGCCAUGCCGCGUGCGGGAAGG
rnacentral:rRNA from 1 species